AGAUUGAACGCUGGCGGCGUGCCUAACACAUGCAAGUCGAGCGGUAACAGGCGUAGCAAUACGUGCUGACGAGCGGCGAACGGGUGAGCAAUGCUUCGGAAUCUGCCCAAUGAUGGGGAAUAACCAGUCGAAAGAUUGGCUAAUACCGCAUACCGCCCUUCGGGGGAAAGCGAGGGGAUCGCAAGACCUUGCGUCGAUGGAUGAGCCGAAGUCGGAUUAGCUAGUUGGUAGGGUAACGGCCUACCAAGGCGACGAUCCGUAGCUGGUCUGAGAGGACGACCACGCCACACUGGGACUGAGACACCGGCCCACGACCUCCGUACGGGAGGCAGCGAGGUAGGGAAUAGUUGGAACGAAGUGGGGGUACCAACCCGUGACUCCGAGCGACCGGCCGCGGUAGGUGGUACGGAAGGAACGG
rnacentral:rRNA from 1 species